rnacentral:rRNA from 1 species
GACGAACGCUGGCGGCGUGCCUAAUACAUGCAAGUAGAACGCACAGUUUAUACCGUAGCUUGCUACACCAUAGACUGUGAGUUGCGAACGGGUGAGUAACGCGUAGGUAACCUGCCUGGUAGCGGGGGAUAACUAUUGGAAACGAUAGCUAAUACCGCAUAAUAUUAAUUAUUGCAUGAUAAUUAAUUGAAAGGUGCAAUUGCACCACUACCAGAUGGACCUGCGUUGUAUUAGCCAGUAGGUGAGGUAACGGCUCACCUAGGCGACGAUACAUAGCCGACCUGAGAGGGUGAUCGGCCACACUGGGACUGAGACACGGCCCAGACUCCUACGGGAGGCAGCAGUAGGGAAUCUUCGGCAAUAGACGAAAGUCUGACCGAGCAACGCCGCGUGAGUGAAGAAGGUUUUCGGAUCGUAAAGCUCUGUUGUAAGAGAAGAACGGGUGUGAGAGUGGAAAGUUCACACUGUGACGGUAUCUUACCAGAAAGGGACGGCUAACUACGUG